rnacentral:rRNA from 1 species
ACGCGGAUGUAGCUAAUGCCAUACGUAAUCUGCCUGGCUAGUGGUNGUAUAACGUUCGGAAACGAACGCUAAUACCGCAUACGUCCUACGGGAGAAAGCAGGGGACCUUCGGGCCUUGCGCUAUCANAUGAGCCUAGGUCGGAUUAGCUAGUUGGUGAGGUAAUGGCUCACCAAGGCGACGAUCCGUAACUGGUCUGANAGGAUGAUCAGUCACACUGGAACUGAGACACGGUCCAGACUCCUACGGGAGGCAGCAGUGGGGAAUAUUGGACAAUGGGCGAAAGCCUGAUCCAGCCAUGCCGCGUGUGUGAAGAAGGUCUUCGGAUUGUAAAGCACUUUAAGUUGGNAGGAAGGGCAGUUACCUAAUACGUGAUUGUUUUGACGUUACCGACAGAAUAAGCACCGGCUAACUCUGUGCCAGCAGCCGCGGUAAUACAGAGGGUGCAAGCGUUAAUCGGAAUUACUGGGCGUAAAGCGCGCGUAGGUGGUUUGUUAAGUUGGAUGUGAAAUCCCCGGGCUCAACCUGGGAACUGCAUUCAAAACUGACUGACUAGAGUAUGGUAGAGGGUGGUGGAAUUUCCUGUGUAGCGGUGAAAUGCGUANAUAUAGGAAGGAACACCAGUGGCGAAGGCGACCACCUGGACUAAUACUGACACUGAGGUGCGAAAGCGUGGGGAGCAAACAGGAUUANAUACCCUGGUAUCCACGCCGUAAACGAUG